GGUAAAAAACCCUGGUGUACACUGCCUCAAAGGGAAAUAUCCGAAGAACCAUCUCAGCUACAGCUCUCCAGGUGAAAUUGGCUAUUCACCUGUCAACACUGUCAUUCUAUGCUGUCAUGGCCAGAUUCACAGAAACUUUCUGAUGAUCAGAGAGGACAUCACAAACUUCAUAGAACUUGCAUCAGGGGUGGACACUAAGGCCUGUGAGCAGGCAAGAUGAUCAACACCUCAACUAAAAGUACCCAGAAGACACCAGAUAAAGAUCGCAUACUGUGAUACAUAUUUUAAAUGUGUGAUGAAAGAUGAGGCAGAAAUAGAAGUAUAAGAGAAAGAGGAAAGUCUCCAGUUUGGGACAUGUACUAGAUAUUUUAAAAGCAGAAUAAAAAAUGUAAAGUGGAAAAGGCUAUAAUAAAUUUAAUUGUCAAGUUUGGGUCUUAAAAUGUGACAUA
rnacentral:lncRNA from 1 species